UAUACGACUCUCGGCAACGGAUAUCUCGGCUCUCGCAUCGAUGAAGAACGUAGCGAAAUGCGAUACUUGGUGUGAAUUGCAGAAUCCCGUGAACCAUCGAGUCUUUGAACGCAAGUUGCGCCCGAGGCCUUUGGGUUGAGGGCACGCCUGCCUGGGCGUCACGC
rnacentral:rRNA from 1 species